ACCUACGGGGGGCAGCAGUGGGGGAUAUUGCACAAUGGGGGGAACCCUGAUGCAGCGACGCCGCGUGGGUGAAGAAGCGCCUCGGCGCGUAAAGCCCUGUCAGCAGGGAAGAAAAUGACGGUACCUGAAGAAGAAGCCCCGGCUAACUACGUGCCAGCAGCCGCGGUAAUACGUAGGGGGCAAGCGUUAUCCGGAUUUACUGGGUGUAAAGGGAGCGUAGACGGCUGGCCAAGUCUGAAGUGAAAGCCCGGGGCUUAACCCCGGAACGGCUUUGGAAACUGGCCGGCUGGAG
rnacentral:rRNA from 1 species